GCCCCCUUCGUCUAGAGGCCUAGGACGCUACCCUUUCACGGUAGAAACAGGGGUUCGAUUCCCCUAGGGGGUACCA
rnacentral:tRNA from 1 species